rnacentral:rRNA from 1 species
UACGGAGGGUGCAAGCAUUAAUCGGAAUUAUUGGGCGUAAAGGGCGCGUAGGCGGAUGUGCAAGUCAGGUGUGAAAUACCGAAACUCAAUUUCGGUGCUGCACUUGAAACUGCAUAACUAGAGGGUAGGCGGAGAAAACGGAAUUCCACAUGUAGCGGUGAAAUGCGUGGAUAUGUGGAAGAACACCGGUGGCGAAAGCGGUUUUCUAGCUUAUUCCUGACGCUGAGGCGCGAGAGCAAGGGGAGCAAACAGG